rnacentral:tRNA from 1 species
CGGGGACUAGCUCAGCUGGCUAGAGCGCUCGGUUUGGGACCGAGAGGUCAGAGGUUCAAAUCCUCUGUCCCCGA